UCCCAUAUUGUCUAGUGGUUAGGAUAUCUGGCUCUCACCCAGGAGGCCCGGGUUCAAUUCCCGGUAUGGGAA
rnacentral:tRNA from 1 species